GGGUGGGGGGUCGGGAGAACCCGGGGUGGGGGGACAGGAGUCAAAGUGCGUUUAUUUAAUUUAUAAAUUAUUAUUGUUAUUAUUAUUGUGUAUGCGCGGAAGGUUUUCGUUGUUUUUAUUCUUUUGUAUUAUAUAUUAUAGAAAUUCCGUACAGUGUUGAUAAACACUACGGAAUUUCAAGCCCCUAAACUUAAGACAUAGUUAAUUUCAAAACAACACAACAGCGGCGGCGGGUUUUCUCAAGAUUUUUUUUACCAAGAAGCAGAUGGCAUCUGAAAUACCAAAGUUUGUCCAGCAUAAAAGAAGAUUUAGUGGUAAGUCAAACGUUGAUUUUCUCAAACUUAAUCUUAGUUACAACUUACAUUUUUAAUUAUAGACUGUUGAUCCUAUCAAUAACAAUAUUGCGGAAUAGAAUGUAAUUAUAAACCAUAAAUUUGACAUAGAAAAGUCGACAGAGUAGAAGAGCAUGUGUAUUUAUGAUAACGAUUUGGUUGGUAUGAGGACUGGCGAAAAUGGAUCAGAUUUGACCAACAAAUGGCAGCAAUUUUGUGACCAAAAGACGCAGAUUUUUUCAAACAAAUUGGUACGUAUGAAAGGUACGUAUGCUUGUAACUACUAAAACAUCAAGUGUAAAAUUCUUUGCUCUAAUUUUCCGUGUUGCUUUUGUCGGUCUCGGUAUUUAUCAUUCAAUGAGUGUGCAUUUAAAAUACAAAUUGGACAGAGGUUUCGUAUGUAUAUGGUGGAUUUGUGUUAGAAGUUUCCAUGAGUGGUACGUGUAUUGUGAAUGCCUUCUAAAGAAGAAUUCUAGUUUAGAAGAAUGGCAGCAAUUUUUGGAUCAAAAUUGUUUUCAAAAAGAACGGUACGUAUAAGAAGGUGAUCUUCAAAAAAGAUAAGAUAAAAACAAAGAUCUGAGUGAAAUGCAAUAACCACCAAGGAAUCUUGUAAUAUGAGGAAGUUUCGGCCGUAUACAGCGUCAAAUACAGUUAACUGAUGAACACCAAUACCUACAAACUUAAUUAAUCAUGUGAGAAUCCUUGAAAAGACUUGCACAUCUUUCCAAACCUUUAAGACUUCAUUUCAAUUGAAAUGCAAUAAUCACACACUAGAAACAAUUACCACAAAUGGUACAAAAACAUACGCAGUCUUUUUUUUUAACAAAUUACAAAACUUUAAGACUUCAAAUUGUAGUAAAGUGCAAUAAUUAUGACACUAAAAGAAAAUAUUGCCAUCAAUGCUGCAAAAAACAUACACAGUCUUUUCUUAACAAAAUACAAACAUGACUUCAAUUUUAGUCAAAUGCAAUAAUUUUUACAUACAUAAAAUUCUAACCAACCCACAAAUCAAAUACAAUACUGAUCAUACAAAAAUAGAAUGUACCCUAACCAGCAUUGCAAUGACCUACACAAUUUUUUUUCGUCAGACCACAGUCCUAACAAUAUGCAAAUAUUUACAACUGUAACUUAAGUAAAAUGUUAAAGUGGUCACAGUGUAUUGUAAGUAAUCCUAAAAUACAUACACAGCUUGUUCAUUACACCACAUGCUAUAACAAAUUACAAAUAGAAAUUUUGUAAACCAAUCUUGAAAGACUUUCUUUUCAUAUCACUGCAUCCCACAAUAAAUUACGACCAGUUAGGUCUGUAUUGAAAUGCAAUAACUAUCACAUGAAAAGAAUAUGUUAACCAAUCACACAGUUUUUUCAUAUCACUGCAUACCACAAGAAAUUACAAACAGUUAGGUCUUUAGUUGUAUUGAAAUGCUUAACUAUCACAUGAAAAGAAUAUGUUAACCAAUCACACAGUUUUUUCACAUCACUGCAUACCACAAUAAAUUACAAACAGUUGAAAUGCAAUAACUAUCACAUGAAAAGAAUAUAGUAACAACAAAUUACAAACCUUUAAUUGAAAUAGAACGAAUAGCCGUCACACGAAAAGAAUAUUCUAACCAAACGUGGAAAUACAUGCACAGUUUGGUCGCAACAAUGUUUACUACAACAAAGUACGGACCUAACAGACUUGAAUUUAAGUGAAAUUAUUAUUAGCCGAAAAGACUAUUCUAACCAAUUUUAAAAACACUUACACUUAGUUUGUUAGUAACACUGCAUAGCAUACAAGUUACAAACUUUUAAGAACUUAAUUAAGGUAAAACAAAUAGCCGUCACAUGAAACGAAUGUUCUGUACAAACAUGAUAAGACUUACACAGUUCGUCCAAAAUAAGUAAUAAAUUUUAAUACCUUAUUUCAUAUGAAUGCAACAAUGAUCCAUCAGAAUUAUUGUGGUAAUCAAUACUGCAAAUAUAUAAACGUUCGUAGCCCUUCAUGCUAUUAACAAACCAAAACUUUCCUCAAUACAUCAAACAUUUACUAGCUGCUACACUACAAAGCAACAAAGAUUUAAUUAAACCUUGAAUGUCUAAGACUUGGUGUUCUAGGAAACAAGAUUCUACUUUAUGUACUGAGCUUUUCUUUCUCAUAGUUCUUACAAAAUGAUGUAAUAUACAAAAUUUGCGUUCGCACAAACAACCUAAUGUAUCAGGCUCUUCAAGUUUCUACAAAUUGACCUCUGCUCGAAAGAGGAGUGGGUUAAACUGAGAAUAUACAUACUCACAACAAUGCUGUGAAACUUAUCACAUUACAGUUGCCUGGUAUCUCUUUUUUUCUCACUGAAUAUCACAUUAUUCAUUAUUUUUCUGAAUUUUCUUUUUCCAUUGUUGUUUCUUUAUUUCCUUUUCUAUAUUUUCAUGUUAAUACCAUACUUCACCAUUAUAUCUAUUACUUCCAUUAUCCAUGUUCCCUGUUCGUCAUUCAAGUUCUCCUUCAUUAUUUCCUGUAUCAAUCUCUUUCCAUCUGAUGUUACUAUUUGCUGCAACAGCAUAAAUCUCCUUUCUUCAAUCCUCUGUUGCAUUGUCCAGUAGCAAGCCUCAAUUAGUAUACGUGGUGUCCUUCUCGCAAAUUACGUGAAUAUACCCAAACCUCCUUGAGAUGACAUAGCAUAUUCUAAUUAAAGCGGAUGUCUCUGAACACUAAAUACUUACGCUUUACCCCAAGACUGCCCCCCCCCCCCCCCCUCCCCAAAAAAAGAACACCACAAAAACAACCUACAUUAUGCAGCCAACACAAUAAAAAACUAAAAUCAGGACAUUCCAUAAAAAUAUCUACACUAUAAACGCCCCAAAAACAGAAACUGCAUGAAAGCCCCGACACUCUAUAAAAUAUGUGACAAUCAACCACUCCAAAGAACUCCUACCUACACUCCAUACUCAAUAAAAAUCUUAAAACUCUAUGAAAACCACAACACAAUCACAAUAAAAACCCAACACUCCAUAACAACUCCGACACUCCAUAACAACCCAACACUCGCCAUAACUCUCCAUAACAACCCCAUCUUUUCCGAACAACCCCGACUUUCCACAACAUUCCCAACUUUUUAUAACAACUCUAACUCUCUAUAACAACUCCAACUCUCUAUAAAAACUCCAACUCUCUAUAACAACUCCAACUCUAUAUAACAACCCUAACUCUCCAUAACAACUCUACUUAACAACUCCAACUCUACUCUAUAACAACUCCAACUCUCCAUAACAACUCCAACUCUACAACAACUCCAACUCUCUAUAACAACUCCAACUCUCUAUAACAACUCCAACUCUCUAUAUAAACUCCAACUCUCUAUAACAACUCCAACUCUCUAUAGCAACUCCAACUCUACUCUAUAGCAACUCCAACUUUCUAUGACAACUCCAACUCUUCAUAACAACUCUAACGCUCCAUAACAACCAUAACACUCCCUAACAACCAUAACACUCCCUAACAACCCAGACAGCCUAUAACAACUUCGACACGCUAUAAAAACUUCUAGCAAUUUCACUAACACCACUGCAACACACUAUCAAGACGGUUGCACAUCUCUGAAACAAAUUUUACUUCUUUCUCCAUUAUUUUACUUCGUUUUCUGUUAUUUUACUGCUUUCCCCAUUAUUUGACUUCGUUCUCCAUUAUUUUAAUUCGUUCUCCAUUACUUCACUUCCUUCUCCGUCAUUUUACUUCUUUCUCCAUUAUUUUCCUUCGUUCUCCGUUAUUUUAAUUUGUUUUCCAUUAUUUUAAUUCGUUCUCAGUUAUUUUAAUUCGUUCUCCGUUAUUUUAAUUCGUUCUCCGUUAUUUUUAUUCGUUCUCCGUUAUUUUAACAUCGCUCUCCGUUAUUUUAACAUCGUUCUCCGUUAUUUUAACAUCGCUCUCCAUUAUUUUAAUUCGUUCUCCAUUACUUCACUUCCUUUUCCGUCAUUUUACUUCUUUUUCAAUUAUUUUAAUUCGUUCUCCAUUAUUUUAAUUCUUUCUCCGUUAUUUUAACAUCGCUCUCCGUUAUUUUAAUUCGUUCUCCGCUAUUUUAAUUCGUUCUCCGUUAUUUUAAUUCGUUCUCCAUUAUUUUAACAUCGCUCUCCGUUAUUUUAAUUCGUUCUCCGCUAUUUUAAUUUGUUCUCCGUUAUUUUAAUUCGUUCUCCAUUAUUAUAACAUCGCUCUGCGUUAUCUUAAUUUGUUUUCCGUCCCUUUUCCAUUUCUUUAAUCCGUUCUUCAUCAUUCUACUUCGUUCUUUAUUUUUUUAAUUCUUUUCCCAUUAUUUUACUCCAUCAUUUUGAUUCGUUCUUCAUCAUUCUACUUCUUUCUCCCUUAUGUUACUUCUUUCUCCAUUAUUUUCCUUCGUUUUCCAUUAUUUUAAUUCGUUCUCCGUUAUUUCAAUUCGUUCUCCGUUAUUUCAAUUCGUUCUCCGUUAUUUUAAUUCUUUCUCUCUUAUUUUACUUCUUUCUCCGUUAUUAUACUUCCUAUAAAUUAUUUUAUUUUGUUAUACAUUAUUUUAAUUCUUUCCCCAUUAUUUUAAUUCGUUUUCCAUUAUUUAAUUCGAUCUCAAUUAUUUUACUUCCUUCUCUAUUAUUUUAAUUCGUUCUCCAUUAUAAUAAUUCUUUCUCCAUUAUUUUACUUCGCUCUCCAUUAUUUCACCUCUUUCUCCAUUAUUUUGAUUUGUUUUCCGUUAUUUUACUUCGUUCUCCAUUAUUUUACUUCGUUCUCCAUUAUUUUACUUCUUUCUCUCUUAUUUUACUUCUUUCUCCAUUAUUUUACUUCGUUCUCCAUUAUUUUACUUCUUUCUCCAUUAUUUUACUUCGUUCUCUAUUAUUUUAAUUCGUUCUCCAUUAUAAUAAUUCGUUCUCCAUUAUUUUACUUCGUUUUCCAAUUAUUUAAUUCGAUCUCCAUUAUUUUACUUCUUUCUCUAUUAUUUUAAUUCGUUCUCCAUUAUAAUAAUUCGUUCUCCAUUAUUUUACUUCGUUCUCCAUUAUUUUACUUCGCUCUCCAUUAUUUCACCUCCUUCUCCAUUAUUUUGAUUUGUUUUCCGUUAUUUUACUUCGUUCUCCAUUAUUUUGAUUUUCCAUUAUUUUACUUCGUUCUCCAUUAUUUUGAUUUGUUUUCCGUUAUUUUACUUCGUUCUCCAUUAUUUUGAUUUGUUUUCCAUUAUUUGGAUUUGUUUUCCAUUAUUUUAUAUAGAUCUCCAUCAUUUUAAUUCGAUGUCCAUUAUUUCACUUCGUUCUCCAUUAUUUUACUUCGCUCUCCAUUAUUUCACCUCCUUCUCCAUUAUUUUGAUUUGUUUUCCGUUAUUUUACUUUGUUCUCCAUUAUUUUGAUUUGUUUUCCAUUAUUUGGAUUUGUUUUCCAUUAUUUUAUAUAGAUCUCCAUCAUUUUAAUUCGAUGUCCAUUAUUUUACUUCGUUCUCCAUUAUUUUACUUCGCUCUCCAUUAUUUCACCUCCUUCUCCAUUAUUUUGAUUUGUUUUCCGUUAUUUUACUUCGUUCUCCAUUAUUUUGAUUUGUUUUCCAUUAUUUGGAUUUGUUUUCCAUUAUUUUAUAUAGAUCUCCAUCAUUUUAAUUCGAUGUCCAUUAUUUUACUUCGUUCUCCAUUAUUUUACUUCGCUCUC